rnacentral:snoRNA from 1 species
ACCCUCCAGAUUCCUUAUCCCUCAGAUCUAAAUAUUAGCCUGGGUGGCUAAAAAUAGGGGAAAAGUAAAACUGAAGUGGACUUGGAGUCUUUAAUGACAUAUAAAGUCAAUUCAACAUAUGU